rnacentral:rRNA from 1 species
AAUGAACGUUGGCGGCGUGGAUUAGGCAUGCAAGUCGAACGGGUCCGGCCUUCGGGCCGGGCCAGUGGCGCAAGGGUGAGUAAGGCGACGGUAACCAACCCCAGGGUUGGGUAUAGCCGCGGGAAACUGCGGGUAAUCCCCAGCGACGUGCCGGCCCGGCAUCGGGCGGGCACCAAAGCUCUGGCGCCGUGGGACGGGCCGUCGUGGUAUUAGCUAGUUGGCGGGGUAACGGCCCACCAAGGCUGUGAUGCCUACCGGGCGUGCGAGCGUGGCCCGGCACACUGGGACUGAGACACUGCCCAGACUCCUACGGGAGGCUGCAGUCGAGAAUCUUCGGCAAUGGGCGCAAGCCUGACCGAGCGACGCCGCGUGGAGGACGAAGGCCUUCGGGUUGUAAACUCCUGUCGAGGGGGAGGAAGGCCGCUGCAAGGCGGAUUGACCGAUCCCUGGAGGAAGCACGGGCUAAGUUCGUGCCAGCAGCCGCAGUAACAC